UGCUCAGCAACUCCUAUCGCUAUCUCCUCACGGUACUGGCCGGGGUACGCGCAGCCUUAUGGAAGAUCGGGCAACCCACCCCGGUGGGAGCUUUGGUUGUAUGCUGACAGGGAAGA
rnacentral:ribozyme from 1 species